ensembl:lncRNA
CAGGGAGACGCGCCCAGCCUGCGUGACUGCUAGCUGCCCGCCCUCGCUCUUCUUACCGCCUGGCACAGGGGAGUCAUGCCUUGCCCUGCAGAGCUGGCCCAGCCCUUAUUCCCAGCUCCUCCUCCAGCCUCGGUCCUGUUCAGAGCCUGCUUCCCACACUUGCCCUCCCUCUCUCCUCCCUGCAGCUCGGCAGGUGAGCCUGCGCCUCUCCCCCCAUCCUAUCAGACCCAGGACUGGGACCCCUCCAGUCCCCCAAGACACCGAGUCCUGCAUGAACCGGCAGGAAGAGGGGGUCACCCUGAAAGCCCCAAAGUGGGCUCUCCCAGGAUGCCAGAGGCCUUGGAUGGGCCCCAGGGGUCCCCAGCAACACUCAGCAUGGACCGUGCUGUCGGCAGCUGGCAGUUGUGUGCGUGUGCGUGUAGGUGUGUACAGGUGAGUGUGCAAGAGUCCCCUGCAUUCACCAGAAUACAAGUGCCAUGGAGGUGUCUUUGCAGCUGUAUUCUCAAGGGUCUAGAACAGGGCUUGGCUCAUAACAGGUGCCCAUUAAAUGUUUAUGGGAUGAAUGAAUGAAUGAAUGAGCCCAUAGGUUCCCAGGGAGCAGCGGGUCUUCACCCGGAGGCAGUGUGACAACUUAGGUCUCUGUCCCUCUGCAGGGGGCGGAGGUGGUGGCAGUCCUGGCCUAGGAGAUGCGCUGGUGAUGGCCAUGCCAGCAUCACAAUGACUCACUUCGCUGAUGGCUCCUUGGCCUGGGGAACUUGCUCACCUGGAAGACCCCAGAGCAGGGACUGGAGGAGUCUCUGCCCUGGAACAGGCACGAUUGGGGUCGGUGGAGGGAGGCUCUGCCACACAGGCCUGGAACAUUCCAGGCUGGCAGCAUUUGGCCUUUCCUGCUACCACCAGCCACCUGCAGCUGAGAGGAGAGCUGGAGGUCCUGCCAUCCAGGAAUGGACUGAACUCAGGAGGUUUCAGGGCCCGUGUGUGUGUGUGUGCGCGCACAGGGCUGACAUUCAGAGGUUCUCACCUAUACAGCCAUGCUAGUUACUAAAACAUUGGAAUAUUUCUCUACCGGUGGAGGCAGUCAGGCCCCCAGGCCUGCUCCCGGGAGACCCUGCACUGCCUGCCAAUCCACGCAGAAGAGCCCUAUUCUGACCCAAGUGAUGGUCAGCAUCCAUGUCACACAGCAUUUAGCCUCCUGAACACUUCCUGGGAACCACUGUUGGCUCCCCCAAAACCCAGAGAGCAAACUGGUGCCCACCUAGGCCUCCUACCUGGCCCCCGGGAGCCAUGAGCAGGCACUGCCCAGGGGCUCAGCACCCAGGCACUGUGGGGGCCCUUUGUGGCCAGUCCCCUGCAUAGCAUGCCCCCCGGCCUGGGCAUCAGUGGGCGAGAUGGCAGCCACAGAAGGUCUGGCAGCCCCUCAGCUGGCCCAGCUCCUGGGGAGGGAGGCAGGAGGCCAGAGCCCAGGGUCCCUGCAGACAGAUGACCGGCGCUCGGGGCCAGCUGGGCAUUAGAGAAGCCGGUUUAUGGUCCUUCCUCAUGGAACUUCGUGGGCCUGGGGGCAGGGGGAGGG